AGUGAACGCUGGCGGUAGGCCUAACACAUGCAAGUCGAACGGCAGCACAGUAAGAGCUUGCUCUUACGGGUGGCGAGUGGCGGACGGGUGAGGAAUACAUCGGAAUCUACUUUUUCGUGGGGGAUAACGUAGGGAAACUUACGCUAAUACCGCAUACGACCUACGGGUGAAAGCAGGGGAUCUUCGGACCUUGCGCGAUUGAAUGAGCCGAUGUCGGAUUAGCUAGUUGGCGGGGUAAAGGCCCACCAAGGCGACGAUCCGUAGCUGGUCUGAGAGGAUGAUCAGCCACACUGGAACUGAGACACGGUCCAGACUCCUACGGGAGGCAGCAGAGGGGAAUAUUGGACAAUGGGCGCAAGCCUGAUCCAGCCAUACCGCGUGGGUGAAGAAGGCCUUCGGGUUGUAAAGCCCUUUUGUUGGGAAAGAAAAGCAGCAGGUUAAUACCCCGCUGUUCUGACGUUACCCAAAGAAUAAGCACCGGCUAACUUCGUG
rnacentral:rRNA from 1 species